rnacentral:rRNA from 1 species
CAGUUCGGUCCCUAUCCGUCGCAGGCGUAGGAAAUUUGAGAAGACCUGUCCUUAGUACGAGAGGACCGGGAUGGACGUACCGCUGGUGUACCAGUUGUUCUGCCAAGGGCAUGGCUGGGUAGCUAUGUACGGAAUGGAUAAGCGCUGAAAGCAUCUAAGCGCGAAGCCAACUUCAAGAUAAGAUUUCCCACCGCAAGGGUAAGACCCCAGAAAGACUAUCUGGUUGAUAGGUCGAAGGUGUAAGUGCAGCAAUGUAUUUAGCUUAUCGAUACUAAUAGGUCGAGGACUUGACCAAAUU